ensembl:snoRNA
AUGCAUCUAUUGAGCGGGCCUGGUACAGUUACUGUUUGCGGCUUCAGUUCCCAUUACAGAUGCAAGAAAAAAGUGUCCUCCUGAUUUCUGUCUGUCUGGUUGAAGCAGACAAGAUUGAAUGGGAAAAAUGCA